CCCUUAGAUGAUUUGGGCUGCACGCGCGCUACACUGACCCUAACAAUGAGCAACUGUCUGGCCUGAGAUGGCUGGGUAGCCUUUUCAACCCAUGUCAUGAUUGGGCUAGAUUUUUGUAAGUCUUGAUCUCUAACGAGGAAUCCCUAGUAUGCGUGAAUCAUCAAUCCAUGCAGAUUAUGUCCCUGCCCUUUGUACACACCGCCCGUCGCUACGACCGACUGUUUCUGUCAAUGAAGCUGUAGGAUUUGGUCCUGGCCGGGCUUCACGGCCUGGCUGCGGCACUGGAGAUCACAGUUUAGUUGAUACGAAAUACAGGACGUAAAAGUCGUAACA
rnacentral:rRNA from 1 species